rnacentral:rRNA from 1 species
CCAGCACGUAAAGGUGGGGACUCUAGCCAGACUGCCUACGCAAGUAGUGAGGAAGGUGGGGACGACGUCAAGUCAUCAUGGCCCUUAUGUCCGGGGCUGCACACGUGCUACAAUGGACGGUACAGAGGGAAGCCACCCAGCGAUGGGGCGCAGAUCUCGAAAGCCGUUCCCAGUUCGGAUUGGAGUCUGCAACUCGACUCCAUGAAGGUGGAAUCGCUAGUAAUCGCGUAUCAGCAACGACGCGGUGAAUACGUUCCCGGGCCUUGUACACACCGCCCGU